UUAAAUUGAAGAGUUUGAUCAUGGCUCAGAUUGAACGCUGGCGGCAGGCCUAACACAUGCAAGUCGAGCGGUAGCACAGAGAGCUUGCUCUCGGGUGACGAGCGGCGGACGGGUGAGUAAUGUCUGGGAAACUGCCUGAUGGAGGGGGAUAACUACUGGAAACGGUAGCUAAUACCGCAUAAUGUCGCAAGACCAAAGUGGGGGACCUUCGGGCCUCAUGCCAUCAGAUGUGCCCAGAUGGGAUUAGCUAGUAGGUGGGGUAACGGCUCACCUAGGCGACGAUCCCUAGCUGGUCUGAGAGGAUGACCAGCCACACUGGAACUGAGACACGGUCCAGACUCCUACGGGAGGCAGCAGUGGGGAAUAUUGCACAAUGGGCGCAAGCCUGAUGCAGCCAUGCCGCGUGUGUGAAGAAGGCCUUCGGGUUGUAAAGCACUUUCAGCGGGGAGGAAGGCGUUAAGGUUAAUAACCUUGGCGAUUGACGUUACCCGCAGAAGAAGCACCGGCUAACUCCGUGCCAGCAGCCGCGGUAAUACGGAGGGUGCAAGCGUUAAUCGGAAUUACUGGGCGUAAAGCGCACGCAGGCGGUCUGUCAAGUCGGAUGUGAAAUCCCCGGGCUCAACCUGGGAACUGCAUUCGAAACUGGCAGGCUAGAGUCUUGUAGAGGGGGGUAGAAUUCCAGGUGUAGCG
rnacentral:rRNA from 1 species